ACGAACCGUGCGAACGUUAUUCGGAAUCACUGGGCUUAAAGCGCGUGUAGGCGGGUCGGAACGUCGGACGCUGAAAUCCCCCGGCUUAACCGGGGAACGGGCGCCGAAACGGCCGGCCUGGAGGAACGUAGGGGGAGCUGGAACUUCCGGUGGAGCGGUGAAAUGCGUUGAGAUCGGAAGGAACGCCCGUGGCGAAAGCGAGCUCCUGGACGUUUACUGACGCUGAGACGCGAAAGCCAGGGGAGCGAACGGGAUUAGAUACCCCGGUAGUCCUGGCCGUAAACGAUGGGCACUGGGUAGGGGGCUCGCCGAUGGGCUCCCUGCCGUAGCGAAAGCGUGAAGUGCCCCGCCUGGGGAGUAUGGUCGCAAGGCUG
rnacentral:rRNA from 1 species